rnacentral:lncRNA from 1 species
GGGAUGGCGGAGGCAAACCAGGGGCCGGGCUGGGAGGGGCAGGGCGGGGCGGGGCCGGGCUGGGCGGGGCCGGGCUGGGAGGGGUCGGGUACGGAGGCACAGGGCUAGGCGGCUCCGGGGAUGGCGGAGGCAAACCAGGAGCCGGGCUGGGAUGGGCCGGGCUAGACGGUCCCGGGCUGGGCGGGGCCGGGCUGGGAGGGGCCGGGAUGGGAGGGGCCGGGCUGGGAGGGGCCGGGCUGGGGGGCAGCGGUGAAGGCGGAUGCGGACUAGGCGGCAUCGGCGACGGCGGCUCCGGAGAUGGAGGCUCAGGGCUGGGAGGGGCCGGGCUGGGGGGCAGUGGCGAAGGCGGAUGCGGACUAGGCGGCAUCGGUGACGGCGGCUCCGGAGAUGGAGGCUCAGGGCUGGGAGGGGCCGGGCUGGGGGGCAGCGGUGAAGGCGGAUGCGGACUAGGCGGCAUCGGCGACGGCGGCUCCGGAGAUGGAGGCUCAGGGCUGGGAGGGGCCGGGCUGGGGGGCAGAGGCGAGGGCGCAUGCGGACUAGGCGGCAUCGGCGACGGCGGCUCCGGAGAUGGAGGCUCAGGGCUGGGAGGGGCUGGGCUGGGGGGCAGUGGCGAAGGCGGAUGCGGACUAGGCGGCAUCGGUGACGGCGGCUCCGGAGAUGGAGGCUCAGGGCUGGGAGGGGCCGGGCUGGGGGGCAGUGGCGAAGGCGGAUGCGGACUAGGCGGCAUCGGCGACGGCGGCUCCGGAGAUGGAGGCUCAGGGCUGGGAGGGGCCGGGCUGGGGGGCAGUGGCGAAGGCGGAUGCGGACUAGGCGGCAUCGGUGACGGCGGCUCCGGAGAUGGAGGCUCAGGGCUGGGAGGGGCCGGGCUGGGGGGCAGUGGCGAAGACAGAUGCGGACUAGGCGGCAUCGGCGACGGCGGCUCCGGAGAUGGAGGCUCAGGGCUGGGAGGGGCCGGGCUGGGGGGCAGUGGCGAAGACAGAUGCGGACUAGGCGGCAUCGGUGACGGCGGCUCCGGAGAUGGAGGCUCAGGGCUGGGAGGGGCCGGGCUGGGGGGCAGAGGCGAAGGCGGAUGCGGACUAGGCGGCAUCGGCGACGGCGGCUCCGGAGAUGGAGGCUCAGGGCUGGGAGGGGCCGGGCUGGGGGGCAGUGGCGAAGGCGGAUGCGGACUAGGCGGCAUCGGCGACGGCGGCUCCGGAGAUGGAGGCUCAGGGCUGGGAGGGGCCGGGCUGGGGGGCAGAGGCGAAGGCGGAUGCGGACUAGGCGGCAUCGGCGACGGCGGCUCCGGAGAUGGAGGCUCAGGGCUGGGAGGGGCCGGGCUGGGGGGCAGUGGCGAAGGCGG